UAGGUAUCCUCCAUUCUUUGACGACAAUCCAUUUGGCAUCUACCAAAAGAUCCUGGCCGGAAAGCUGGAAUUCCCACGCCAUCUGGAUUUUUACGUAAAAGAUCUCAUCAAGAAGUUUCUGGUGAUUGACAGGGCAAGGAGGCUCGGCAACAUGAAGAAUGGAUCAGACGAUGUGAAGAAGCACCGCUGGUUUAAACCACUCGACUGGGAGGCUGUUCAUCAGAGAAGACUCAAACCCCCCAUCGUCCCAAAGGUCUCUCACGAGGGCGACACCUCCAACUUUGACGUGUACCCCGAGGACGAGUGGAAGAGGGAACCCCCCGUUUCUGCAAAGGACCUCGAGAUCUUCAAGAACUUCUGAGGCAUCUCUCUCUUUCUCUCUUUCCUUUCUCUCUCUCUUCUCUCACUCUUUC